UACGUAGGAGGCAAGCGUUGUCCGGAAUUACUGGGUGUAAAGCGCGUGUAGGUGGGAGGCCAAGUCUGUGGUGAAAGCGCCCGGCUCAACUGGGCAGAGUCCAUGGAAACUGGUCACCUGGAGGACGGUAGAGGCGAGUGGAAUUCCCGGUGUAGUGGUGAAAUGCGUAGAGAUCGGGAGGAACACCAGUGGCGAAGGCGGCUUCCUGGCCUGGUUCUUGACGCUGAGGCGCGAAAGCUAGGGGAGCAAACGGG
rnacentral:rRNA from 1 species